AUACGUAGGGUGCAAGCGUUAAUCGGAAUUACUGGGCGUAAAGCGUGCGCAGGCGGUUUUGUAAGACAGUGGUGAAAUCCCCGGGCUCAACCUGGGAACUGCCAUUGUGACUGCAAGGCUGGAGUGCGGCAGAGGGGGAUGGAAUUCCGCGUGUAGCAGUGAAAUGCGUAGAUAUGCGGAGGACCACCAAUGGCGAAGGCAAUCCCCUGGGCCUGCACUGACGCUCAUGCACGAAAGCGUGGGGAGCAAACAGGAUUAGAUACCCUGGUAGUCCACGCCCUAAACGAUGUCAACUGGUUGUUGGGGAUUUAUUUUCUCAGUAACGAAGCUAACGCGUGAAGUUGACCGCCUGGGGAGUACGGCCGCAAGGUUAAAACUCAAAUGAAUUGGCGGGG
rnacentral:rRNA from 1 species